rnacentral:rRNA from 1 species
GAUCCUGGCUCAGGAUGAACGCUGGCGGCGUGCCUAAUACAUGCAAGUCGAACGCGCAGCGAGAGGUGCUUGCACCUUUCAAGCGAGUGGCGAACGGGUGAGUAACACGUGGAUAACCUGCCUCAAGGCUGGGGAUAACAUUUGGGAAACAGAUGCUAAUACCGAAUAAAACUUAGUAUCGCAUGAUAUCAAGUUAAAAGGCGCUACGGCGUCGAACCUAGAGAUGGAUCCGCGGUG